rnacentral:rRNA from 1 species
GACGAACGCUGGCGGCGUGCCCAAUACAUGCAAGUCGAACGCUUCUUUCCUCCCGAGUGCUUGCACUCAAUUGGAAAGAGGAGUGGCGGACGGGUGAGUAACACGUGGGUAACCUACCCAUCAGAGGGGGAUAACACUUGGAAACAGGUGCUAAUACCGCAUAACAGUUUAUGCCGCAUGGCAUAAGAGUGAAAGGCGCUUUCGGGUGUCGUUGAUGGAUGGACCCGCGGUGCAUUAGCUAGUUGGUGAGGUAACGGCUCACCAAGGCCACGAUGCAUAGCCGACCUGAGAGGGUGAUCGGCCACACUGGGACUGAGACACGGCCCAGACUCCUACGGGAGGCAGCAGUAGGGAAUCUUCGGCAAUGGACGAAAGUCUGACCGAGCAACGCCGCGUGAGUGAAGAAGGUUUUCGGAUCGUAAAACUCUGUUGUUAGAGAAGAACAAGGACGUUAGUAACUGAACGUCCCCUGACGGUAUCUAACCAGAAAGCCACGGCUAACUACGUG